GCCCCCAUAGUACAAGGGAUAGUACAAGCCCCUCCUAAGGGUUAGAUACAUGUUCGAGUCAUGUUGGGGGUGCCA
rnacentral:tRNA from 1 species